CUUCUCGUCUGUCGCCAUGUGAGAUGUACCUUUCACUUUCCUCCAUGAUUGUGAGGCCUCCUUAGCCACAUGGAACUGAAAUGCUGGAGUCCUUCAUCCGAAUGGUAAAUGGCACUUGUGACAAAAAUCAAAGUAACUAAAAAAGAAUCUGGUUGAAACCUCAGUAACAGUUGGCCUGUCUACUGCCUCACACUAACAAGGGGGAGCUAAUAAAACCGAGGUUAGAACACACAAUGUGGAAAUGAAAACCUUAUUCUUGUCAAUGGAUGGAGGUGACCCCCACCUUUACAAGUGUCUGUAAUUCUCACUAGCAGUAUAUUAGAGGGCAAAAGAUUUGAACAGACACAUCAGAAAAGAAGACAUACAAAUGGCCGCUAAGCACUUGAAAGGAUUCUGAACACCAUUAGUCAUCAGUGAAAUGCAAAUUAAAGCCAUAAUGAAUGGCGCUAUACAUUUUCAGAAUGGCAAGGAUUGAAGACCGAAAAAAAUCAAGCGUUGAGGAGAGUGACAAAUGGGGAGACAGCCGUGGUGCAUGAUCGCCGAAUAAAUACCAUGUGAGGAUACAGCAAGAAGGUGGCCAUCUACAAGCCAAGGAGACAGGCCUCAGAAGAAACCAACCCUUCUUACACCCUGGACUCAGACUUCUAAUCUCCAGAACUUGUUAAUGCACAAGGUCUUGUGUUGAAAAUGUAGAGCCACGAGAUAAAAGCAGCUUGGAUGGCUGACUCAUAUACAAGGACAACUGCCUGAGAGUCACCAGGGCUAUCAAGAAGUUUGCAGAAACAAGAAAUAAACUUUUACUGUUUUAAACUUUUGUGAAUUUUGGGUUUUGUUUAUCACCAAAUAAACCUAGUCUAUUCUGAUUGUUAUAAGUGGUU
rnacentral:lncRNA from 1 species